GGGUCGAUGCCCGAGCGGUUAAUGGGGACGGACUGUAAAUUCGUUGGCGAUGUGUCUACGCUGGUUCAAAUCCAGCUCGGCCCA
rnacentral:tRNA from 1 species